UACGUAGGGUGCAAGCGUUAAUCGGAAUUACUGGGCGUAAAGCGUGCGCAGGCGGUUCGUUAAGACAGAUGUGAAAUCCCCGGGCUCAACCUGGGAAUGGCAUUUGGGACUGCAAGGCUGGAGUGUGGCAGAGGAGACUGGAAUUCCUGGUGUAGCAGUGAAAUGCGUAGAUAUCAGGAGGAAUACCGAUGGCGAAGGCAGGUCUCUGGGCUGACACUGACGCUCAUGCACGAAAGCGUGGGGAGCAAACAGG
rnacentral:rRNA from 1 species